CGCGCGCUCGCGGCCGGGCGCGUCCACACAAUGCCGGCGCGGGCUGCUGGGGCCGCGCCGGGAGCCGCCCGCCGGGCCGCGGGGCGCAAGGCUGAGAGUGCGCGGGGGGCCCGGCCGCGCGCGGGACACAAAGCGAAUGGACGCGCGGGGGCGGCGGGCGGGGAGCCGCGGCCCCACCGAAGGGACCCCCGGCCGCCGAGCGGCCGCUACGUCAGCGCCCCGGGUGGCGCCGCCUCCGCCCGCCGGCCUGGGCCCCGCUCCCGCCGCCGGGAAGGCGGGCCGCGGUAGAAGAUGUUUAUUGAGCACCUACUGUAUGCUGACAGCUGUGCAUCAGAGCUGAGAAGAGUCAGUUUUCCUGUUCACUGUGGAGUAGAGAGACCCAGGGAUGGACUUAGAUUUGAGUAGACAGUGGAGGAAAGCAUGGAAAGGCUGAACAGAAAUCAAGGUCAUAUCAAUGAAAGCCGAUCUUUGCCUGUCCAAAUUGGCAAAACACCAUCAGACUGGCCUUGCCACGCAGCUGAGUUUGUUCAUACAAACAGCUUCUGGACUCUAGGGGCCAGCUAUACCAGGAAUAAGAAGCAACCAGGACUCACCUACACAGUGGCCUGUUCACCCCUCACCCCAUCUCCUGACCUUAUAUUUUGCUUAUUAAAUGUGAACACUUGUGUUGCUCCCCCAUUUUAAUGGAAAUGCUUCAAGGGACAAGCCUUACGCCUUGUCCUUGAAGGGAGAGCAAGGCCUGGUAAAGGUGCUACACAAGAGCCUUUAGUAAGCAGAACGUCCCCUCUGUGCUGAGGAGAAAGAAAAUUCGUAUUACAACAAAAAAGAAGACCCAGUGUUCACAAGUUGUUUCAAGAUGGCAGAGUUACAGCAAAAAACAUAAAGUUUCUUUUUAAAAAAUGAGAAAAAUGAAACACAACAAAAACCCAUGAAGAGCAUCAACCGGACCCCAAUCUGCCAUCUGACCAGGACCACCACCAGGUUGAGUUCAUCUUGGGUGUGUACAAAGCCUCAGAUCUGUUCCUGAGUUCUGGCUAGUGCCACAUACUCUUGGCACUGGUCUCCUAGUGAUGCCCUGCAAUCCCAGUGGUAUGUGAAGAAGACGAGUGUGUCCCCGGCAAAGUGAGGGUCUAGUUCCAUAUCCCUGGAGCCUCCAGAACAUUCUCCUUCAUGCUCAAGCCUAAACUUCCAGUCCUUAAGAUGGAAGCCUACCUUGGAGCCAAGAGUGGUCUCUUAGGCCUUAAACACAUGCAAUCCAAGUGAUAUGAAAGCAGGGGAAGGGGUCGGGGGAGAGAUCCCAUCCCUGAGAUCCCUGUCUUUGGGACUUGAUGGAGCACAAAACUACUAGCCCCUCAGUUUAAGCCAGAAGGCUGUUCUGGUCAGUUUGCUGGCCUCAGGUCAGCUGGACUGAGGAUCCAGAACAGUGAGGUUUGUGUCACCACGGGGAGACCCUGCGAGGGUACCAUGUGUGAAAGCAUAUUCAGAGUAACAGUCUUCUGCUUCGGUUGCAAGGCCAUUCUUUUGAAAUCCAGAGUGCACUGGACUUGCUUCCCAUAGGCCACAGUCCUCCCUGGGACCGUGGCUUUGUAAGAUGAUAUAGGCCCAGCUACCAAACACAGCCAAAGGUUCUGGUGGCCUGAUACUGGCAACAGGUACCAAGGUUCACUGUCACUGAGACCCUGGAGACCAAAUUAAUAGAGUCAGUCAAUAAGUAAUCUCCCCUGGAAUUUGGAGGUCAGAGCAUAGUAGGCAGACGCCGGUGAGUCUGGCCGGGUGGAUGGAACUCUGGUCCUGACGCCUCCGGGGAUCGCAGCCAGUGCAAGGAACCCAGCUAAUACAAGGCCGCAGAGGCGGCUCUUUAAGUAGCAGGGCCUGACCGACCGAGCAGGCGCAGUCCCAGGCCUCGUCACGCGGUUCCGCCCUGGCGCGGCAGCCUGAGCGGCCAGCAGGCUUCGGCAUGGCUCGGCCCCGCCCCUAGACGCGCGCGCAUCUGCCGCGCAAGCCUCGCCCUGCCCGCCGAGCCAGAGGCCUAGGCUAGGAGUGCUGGCUGCAGGCACUUCCUGGCCACUAAGCCAGACACGCCUAAACCUGGCUGCAAGGAGAUCGAGGUAAAAAGAUGGCAUAAAAAGCAGCCACACUGGUAACUCCAAGUUUAAGAAGGAUUUAAUGCAGAUCAAUUUUCCCCCCUUAGGCCUUUAUGAAAGUCACUUUUGACUUCUCAGCCUGAUUGUCUUUAGUGGAACUCAAAACAUUGUGCUCAGAAUAAUCUUCAUAUUAACUACCUUCUAAUGUCCCUCUAGAAUUACUCAGACAGGGCACGGUAUUUCUGAACUUUCUGUUAUCUGAUGAAACUCUUCAUGAGCUACCUCAAUUUGAAAAAAACCUCUAAAACUUAUGCUUUUACAAAUGAAUUUAAAAGCCACACCAUACUUUAUACUAAAAGAAUAAAGAUUUUUAUUAAGCAUUGUAAGUUGCAUUCAAUAGCCUCCAGAUACACCACACCACA